UCUGCAUCUUAGAACUUGGUCCAUCCAAAUGGAUGUGAGCUAGGAUUCUAGACUAAAUAUUACAAGUUUUCUAUAUGUUACCUUAAUUGGUUGCAUAUAGUAGCUAGUAAGUUUACCUUGAAAAAAUUAGAGUGCUCAAUGCGGGCUUAAUGCCUGAAUACUCGUGCAUGGAAUAAUAAAAUAGGAUCUUGGUUCUAUUUUGUUGGUUUUCUGAUCUAAGAUAAUGGUUAAGAGGGACGGACGGGGGCAUUCGUAUCGCUACGUGAGAGGUGAAAUUCUUGGACCGUAGCGAGACGUACAACUGCGAAAGCAUUUGCCAAGAAUGUCUUCAUUAAUCAAGAACGAAAGUCAGAGGUUCGAAGGCGAUCAGAUACCGCCCUAGUUCUGACCGUAAACGAUACCAACUAGCGUUCCGUCGGCGGUAAAUACGCCUUGA
rnacentral:rRNA from 1 species